GAUGAACGCUGGCGGCGUGCCUAAUACAUUCAAGUCGAGCGAACAGACGAGGAGCUUGCUCCUUCGACGUUAGCGGCGGACGGGUGAGUAACACGUAGGUAACCUACCUAUAAGACUGGGAUAACUUCGGGAAACCGGAGCUAAUACCGGAUAAUAUUUCGAACCGCAUGGUUCGAUAGUGAAAGAUGGCUUUGCUAUCACUUAUAGAUGGACCUGCGCCGUAUUAGCUAGUUGGUAAGGUAACGGCUUACCAAGGCAACGAUACGUAGCCGACCUGAGAGGGUGAUCGGCCACACUGGAACUGAGACACGGUCCAGACUCCUACGGGAGGCAGCAGUAGGGAAUCUUCCGCAAUGGGCGAAAGCCUGACGGAGCAACGCCGCGUGAGUGAUGAAGGUCUUCGGAUCGUAAAACUCUGUUAUUAGGGAAGAACAAACGUGUAAGUAACUGUGCACGUCUUGACGGUACCUAAUCAGAAAGCCACGGCUAACUACGUG
rnacentral:rRNA from 1 species